rnacentral:misc_RNA from 1 species
UCUCCGUUGGUGAACCAGCGGAGGGAUCAUUACUGGAAUCGCAAGAUCCCACAACCCUGUGAACCUACCGAAACGUUGCCUCGGCGGGUGCCCGGCCUCUGCGCCGGGUGCUGCGCCCGCCGGCGGCCCCCUACUCUGUCUCUGCAGCGUGGCAUCUCAGAGUCCCAGAAAACAAGUCAAAACUUUCAACAACGGAUCUCUUGGCUCUA